GAUGAACGCUGACAGAAUGCUUAACACAUGCAAGUCUUUGGCGAAGCUGUGCUUGCACCGCCUAGCCAAGGCGGACGGGUGAGUAACGCGUAAGGAACUUGCCCUGCAGUCAGGGAUAACAGACGGAAACGACUGAUAAGACCUGGUAAAGUCAGGCGGACUCAUGUCCAGCCUGAUGAAAAGAGAUGCUGCAGGAGAGCCUUGCGUCCUAUUAGCUUGUUGGUGGGGUAACGGCCCACCAAGGCGAUGAUAGGUAGCCGGCCUGAGAGGGUGGACGGCCACAAGGGGACUGAGAUACGGCCCUUACUCCUACGGGAGGCAGCAGUGGGGAAUAUUGGACAAUGGGGGCAACCCUGAUUCAGCAAUUCUGUGUGCACGAUGAAGGUUUUCGGAUUGUAAAGUGCUUUCAGCAGGGAAGAAAAAAAUGACGGUACCUGCAGAAGAAGCGACGGCUAAAUACGU
rnacentral:rRNA from 1 species